rnacentral:rRNA from 1 species
GACGAACGCUGGCGGCGUGCUUAACACAUGCAAGUCGAACGGUAAGGCCCCAGCUUGCUGGGGUACACGAGUGGCGAACGGGUGAGUAACACGUGGGUGACCUGCCCCGCACUUCGGGAUAAGCCUGGGAAACUGGGGCUAAUACCGGAUAGGACCGCACCGUGAGGGGGUGGUGGAAAGUUUUUCGGUGUGGGAUGGGCCCGCGGCCUAUCAGCUUGUUGGUGGGGUAAUGGCCUACCAAGGAGGCGACGGGUAGCCGGCCUGAGAGGGUGGACGGCCACAUUGGGACUGAGACACGGCCCAGACUCCUACGGGAGGCAGCAGUGGGGAAUAUUGCACAAUGGGCGGAAGCCUGAUGCAGCGACGCCGCGUGGGGGAUGACGGCCUUCGGGUUGUAAACUCCUUUCACCAUCGACGAAGGUUUUCUGACGGUAGUUGGAGAAGAAGCACCGGCUAACUACGUG